CCUACGGGAGGCAGCAGUGGGGAAUUUUCCGCAAUGGGCGAAAGCCUGACGGAGCAACGCCGCGUGGGUGAUGAAGUCUUUCGGGACGUAAAACCCUUUCAGCAGGGACGAACACAAUGACGGUACCUGCAGAAGAAGCAUCGGCUAACUACGUGCCAGCAGCCGCGGUAAUACGUAGGAUGCGAGCGUUGUCCGGAUUUAUUGGGCGUAAAGCGAACGUAGGCGGUUUCUUAAGUUUGGUCUUAAAGACCGGGGCUCAACCCCGGGAAUGGACUGAAUACUGGGAGACUAGAGGAUGUUAGAGGAAAGUGGAAUUCCAAGUGUAGCGGUGAAAUGCGUAGAUAUUUGGAGGAACACCAGUGGCGAAAGCGGCUUUCUGGGACAUUUCUGACGCUGAGGUUCGAAAGCUCGGGGAGCAAACAGGAUUAGAUACCCUGGUAGUCCGAGCCGUAAACGAUGGACACUAGGUGUCGGGGGUAUCGACCCCCCGGUGCCGUAGCUAACGCGUUAAGUGUCCCGCCUGGGAGUACGGUCGCAAGCUGAACUUAAAUGAAUUGNGCGNGNGANGCAGCGCACAGGAGAG
rnacentral:rRNA from 1 species